rnacentral:lncRNA from 1 species
AGUGUAGUAUCUGUUCUUAUCAGUUUAAUAUCUGAUACGUCCUCUAUCCGAGGACAAUAUAUUAAAUGGAUUUUUGGAACUAGGAGUUGGAAUAGGAGCUUGCUCCGUCCACUCCACGCAUCGACCUGGUAUUGCAGUACCUCCAGGAACGGUGCACCCCCUCGGGGGAAUAAUAAACUGUUGGAAGUUAGAAGCUUGUCUUAAUUUACGGUUUUUUGCUAACUCUCCAAACAGGUCAGGUUACUUACAACAAAUUGUGUUCCUUUUAGUUUGGAGAUUCAUGGGAUAACUUACAAGUAAGAGGAGUUGAGUGCCCAGUCUUCCAUUCUCUGUUCACAGUGUUCUCCCAGUUUGGCCUUCUGUAUUCAGUCCGAGUCUUCCCGAAUGCUGCAGUGGCCGGUCCUGGUUUCUACGCCAUCGUCAAGUUUUACUCCUCGAGGGACGCACAGAGAGCCCAAAAGGCAUGCGACGGAAAGCCCCUUUUUCAGACAUCACCAGUGAAGGUUCGUCUUGGCACCAGACAUAAGGCACUGCAACAUCAGGCUUUUGCCUUGAAUAGCUCACGGUGCCAGGAACUGGCAAAUUACUACUUUGGCUUCAAUGGAUGGUCAAAAAGGAUCGUCAAGCUGCAGGAGCUCUCUGGAUUGGAGGAUGCAGCUCUCGCUGUGCCCAUGCAGAAGCGGAACCCCCAGUUCUUCUGUGCUGUAGAGGUGGUGCUGCCGGCCUACGGGUGCACGAGUCCUGGAGUUGGCAUCUCUGAGGAGCCU